AUAUAUAUAUAUAUAUAUAUAUAUCCUGUUAUAUUGUUUAAGUUGUCUGUUUUUGUUAUCCAUAACUAAUCUUAAUUUGAAAAUUUAAAUCAUUGAGUGAGAAUGAUUCAGUAUUACAUGUCAACACAAUAUAAAAUGUUAGACCUGAAUUACAAGUACAACUAAAUCUUAUACUGACCUGGAAGUGGAGUUUGUUCUAGUA